CUCUGCAGGACACCGGCCCUCCAGGACCGAGUGUGGACACCCUUGGUCUAGUGAGAAGGCAGCCAGGUUAAUCCGGUCACACGCGUUAUGAUCGCGGGCGCGAUUUGGAAUCACAAACUUGGCUGCAUUUGAGUCUUCAAGGCAUUUUGAGUACACAACAUCUUCAAGGUGUCUGGCUAAAAGCCCAGAAUUUUGGAAAGGAGAGAGGAAUGAGUGAGAGAAAAAGAGAGACAGAUGAAGGGAUGGUUGAAGGCACAACCAUCUCUUUUCCCAUCAGUGCUGAAAGCAAACUUCUCCAUUGAAACACCUUAUUCAGGAUUUGUUUUACUUUGUGUCUUUUGAGUUAUUUAUGUUUCAUAACAGGUAGCUAGAAAAGUUCAGAGAGGGGAAGGAGGACUCAUUCCCCAAAUAAAACAUGAAGACCACAGUAAAUGUCCAUCCUGAAGAAAUCAGUCUAGCGUUUCAAUACACACUGAAUAUGAGAGCAAUCGUGAGCGAUGUGGGUCACGUUUAAAUACCAGCACGCUCUUAAUACACACACACACAGUCAGGCAGAAUGGCACUAGUUGGAGAUGUAUGCCUGUAAAUGAGUUUAGUCUUCUCAACUCCCU